rnacentral:rRNA from 1 species
UACGAAGGGGGCUAGCGUUGUUCGGAAUUACUGGGCGGUAAAGCGCACGUAGGCGGAUCUUUAAGUCAGGGGUGAAAUCCCGAGGCUCAACCUCGGAACUGCCUUUGAUACUGGGGAUAUCGAGUCCGGGAGAGGUGAGUGGAACUGCGAGUGUAGAGGUGAAAUUCGUAGAUAUUCGCAAGAACACCAGUGGCGAAGGCGGCUCACUGGGCCGGUACUGACGCUGAGGAGCGAAAGCGUGGGGAGCAAACAGG